UCUUGUUCCAAGUAUGUUCAGUUCAACCCCCAAACGUAUCAUAUAUGUUUUGUACACAAUAUAAUUCAAGAUUUUUUACAAUACAAUACAAAAUGUUUUUUUUUUCCUGAUAUUAAUAUUGUCUUGUACUGUACAGUCUGUUUUACCAUUUACGAGUCGACAUUGGUGAGUGGUAUGUGAUGUUUGGUUUUAUUUGAUGAUUGUGUUUGCAGGUAUGAAGUGGUGGGAUCCCAAAGUGGGAUUGAAUAUGGCCCAUUCCCCAUCCCAUCGCAUGGACUACCAGCCAGAUUCUGGAAACAAGAAUCAAACAACUAAGUAGGCCAUAACAAGUCACAUUCCUUAAAACGAAAUUUCACUUUUCCUCUUUGCUUUCAAUCCAAUGUGCCCCUUCAAACUAAUAUGGGGUUGGCCCUCUUUUCCUCAAAAGCAAUUAUUGAAUUAAUCAAGGAAGAAUUGUAUUCAUAUUUCUUAUCGGUGACAGCUUGUAAAAUGUGUACUAUUUUCAUUGAAGAAUUGGAAUUGAAGUAUUAAUGUUAGAAAAAAAAUG
rnacentral:lncRNA from 1 species